UGGCCUGUGAUGAGGAAGUGAUAUAUUGCCUACAUUGUUUGAUUAUUUUCCAUGAGAACAACAAUACAUCUCUCUGAGGCCA